rnacentral:rRNA from 1 species
UUUGUCCACUAAUUAUGGACCCGUAUGAAAGGCCACAUGAGAAUCUAACUGUCUCCUGUAACCAAUUUAUAAAACUGAUCUUCCAGUCCAAAAGCUGGAAUACACUUAUAAGACGAGAAGACCCUGUGAAGCUUAAAAAAUCCUAUUAAACCUAGUAAUAGGUAUUUUUAGUUGGGGCAACUUUGGAAAAUAAUUUAACUUCCAAAAAUAAAACAAUAUUACACCAAGACCUACAAGUCAAUUAAGACCCAGUAUAACUGAUAAGUGGACCAAGUUACUCCAGGGAUAACAGCGCAAUCUUCUUCAAGAGCCCAUAUCAAAAGGAAGGUUUACGACCUCGAUGUUGGAUCAGGACACCCAAAUGGCGCAGCCGCUAUUAAAGGUUCGUUUGUUCAACGAUUAACAGU